CGGGCCUGACCUUCCGGAGGACGGCGGCGAGAGCAGGCGGAGUAGUGACGGGCAGGUCCUGUCGGGGAAAGUCCUCGGGAGCAGGGAAGGGAAUGCUGAGUCCUCAGGAACUUCUCACUAUACACCAUCCUCUGCUCUGCAGAGCACCUCCAUGCACCGUCUGAAGACAUGGGGAUAAUUUUCCAGAGCUGCUCAGAAGAAAUGAGAAUGGAAGCCCCAAGUGACCAACAUGAGGACUCCCCUCCCCAGGCCCACGGAGCCCUUUGAGCUCGGAGGAACGUGGUGGAAACCCUCAUCCAAACAGUUUGGAUCUUUUGGGUUCUCAAAUAAAAGGAAUUUGUAC
rnacentral:lncRNA from 1 species